rnacentral:rRNA from 1 species
UACGAAGGGGGCUAGCGUUGUUCGGAAUUACUGGGCGUAAAGCGCACGUAGGCGGAUAUUUAAGUUAGGGGUGAAAUCCCAGGGCUCAACCCUGGAACUGCCUUUAAUACUGGGUAUCUCGAGUCCGAGAGAGGUGAGUGGAAUUCCGAGUGUAGAGGUGAAAUUCGUAGAUAUUCGGAGGAACACCAGUGGCGAAGGCGGCUCACUGGCUCGGUACUGACGCUGAGGUGCGAAAGCGUGGGGAGCAAACAGGAUUAGAUACCCCCGUAGUCC